rnacentral:sRNA from 1 species
CCAGCCGCCAUCUUGGUCUAGGAGGGAGCGCGCCGCACGCGGUGGCCGACAUGACGGCCAGGGGUCAGAGCCCCCUCGCGCCGCUGUUGGAGACUUUGGAAGACCCUUCUGCCUCCCAUGGAGGGCAGACUGACGCUUACCUGACUCUGACCAGUCGUAUGACUGGAGAAGAAGGAAAAGAAGUAAUUACAGAAAUUGAGAAAAAACUUCCUCGGCUGUACAAAGUUUUAAAGACUCACAUUUCCAGUCAAAACUCGGAGCUGAGUAGUGCUGCUCUACAAGCACUGGGGUUUUGCUUAUAUAAUCCCAAAAUUACCUCAGAAUUAUCAGAGGCAAAUGCUCUAGAAUUGCUUUCAAAAUUGAAUGAUACCAUUAAGAAUUCAGACAAAAAUGUACGUACUAGAGCACUUUGGGUGAUAUCUAAGCAGACAUUUCCCUCUGAAGUGGUUGGCAAAAUGGUAUCCAGUAUAAUUGAUUCAUUAGAAAUACUGUUUAACAAAGGAGAGACGCGUUCUGCUGUUGUUGAUUUUGAAGCAUUAAAUGUUAUCGUAAGGCUAAUUGAACAAGCCCCAAUUCAAAUGGGAGAAGAGGCAGUGAGGUGGGCAAAACUGGUCAUACCUUUAGUGGUUCAUUCAGCACAAAAGGUACAUUUGCGGGGAGCAACUGCUCUGGAGAUGGGAAUGCCAUUAUUGCUUCAGAAACAGCAAGAAAUAGCAUCUAUUACGGAGCAGCUUAUGACUACU